rnacentral:rRNA from 1 species
CACGUAGGGUGCGAGCGUUAAUCGGAAUUACUGGGCGUAAAGCGUGCGCAGGCGGUGAUGUAAGACAGGUGUGAAAUCCCCGGGCUCAACCUGGGAAUUGCAUCUGUGACUGCAUCGCUAGAGUACGGUAGAGGGGGAUGGAAUUCCGCGUGUAGCAGUGAAAUGCGUAGAUAUGCGGAGGAACACCGAUGGCGAAGGCAAUCCCCUGGACCUGUACUGACGCUCAUGCACGAAAGCGUGGGGAGCAAACAGG